AAGAAGAGUCCUAAGGUUGAAUUUAUUUCUGGAGGAACUCAGCCUGCUCAGGUUGCGGCCCCACCAAAGUUUAGCCUGCCUAUUCCAGUUGCUGCUCCUAGUGGGUUGCAUUCUGCAUCAACCACAGCUGAUGCAGUUGUUCGGGAUGGUAGACAGAACAAGAAGUCAAAAUGGGAUAAGGUCGACGGUGAUGGAAAAAA
rnacentral:misc_RNA from 1 species